CUUUUAAUUGAAGGCUGGUAUGAAUGGUUGGACGAGGUAUUAGCUGUUUCAAGUAAAUUUAUUAUAGAAUUUUAUUUUUUAGUCAAAAAGCUAAAAUUUAGUUAAAAGACGAGAAGACCCUAUAAAUCUUUAUUUUAUUAGUUAUUUUAAUUAUAAAGAUAAAUUUUAUUAUAAUAAUUAAUAAAAUUUUAUUGGGGUGAUAUUAAAAUUUAUAGAACUUUUAAUUUUUAUUGAACAUUAAUUAAUGAGUAAUUGAUCCGUUAUUAACGAUUAAAAAUUUAAGUUACUUUAGGGAUAACAGCGUAAUUUUUUUGGAGAGUUCUUAUCGAUAAAAAAGAUUGCGACCUCGAUGUUGGAUUAAGAAAAAUUUUAGGUGUAGCCGCU
rnacentral:rRNA from 1 species